ACGCUAAGAUCAGUUUACUCAUAAAUAGGUAAUUUAUUUACCCAUAUAUGCGUUUUUUAUGCAUUACCUAUUUUAUGGGUAAAACAUACCGACAAAAAACGGUAAAUUUUACUCAUAUUAUGAGUAAAGCCUUUUCACCCAAAUAUGAGUAGAAGAAAUUACCCAUAUUUGGAUGAAAAAUAAAUAAUAAUUAUUGACAACAUUCAGGUGAUCAAAACUUAGAUCGAAAUUGUUGAACAACAAAAACGAAGACAAAAUUAGUCAAAAACUUGUUGAUAUUGUAGGUUUUUGACAAAAAGCAAUCUGCCCUUAAAGAUCCUUUGGUGACGGCAUCGAUGUGGAGAACUUCUGAUCGAGCUUCUGAUAGCGCUGCGGCGUUCCUGCUGCUGGCGUACCUAAUACACGCCUGAUUCAACACGGUUCCGGAUAACCAGAGCGGCAACGAAAAGGCAGGAACGAUGAGUUGAGUGGCAUACGAGCCCUAACCGGAACGUGAAUUUCACUGGACUUGCAUCGGCGCACGAUUUUGAAUAUUAAUUCCAACCGGUUCCGACAAAUUGGCAUCUGUGCAACGUUUUCGCCAAGGAAGCCCUUCGGAGAGUACGACCAUAGACUAAUUUCGAUACGGCGUAAAUCUUGAUGCAGAGCGAACAUGUAGAAAUGAUUACCAUGUCACCUUCAAAGGCAAACACAUCCCUUCCGGCAGCUAGGCUAGGUGCCGGAUCAUUCAAGCAUUACGGGAAAACGAAAGGAAAUCUUGGAGUGACCGUGAAGCGAAACUUAUUUAAAACAUAUGGGACAUUAGUAAUUCAUUGUACUUUGCUCUUAUGAACAAUAAAUGAUUGGUUUUAUCGUUGUUUUGUUA